UUUCCUUUGUGGUGAAGUUGAUGAUGUUUUUAUUUUUUGUUGUUCUAUUUCUAUCUCGUUUCCUUUCUUGAACACAAGGUCAAUACAGCUGCAUUCAUUCGGCGCUAUUCGAUCAUUAUACACCUAUCGCAAUUAAUCGAAUCGCUAAGUGUGAGCCAAUCAGAGAAUCUUGAAAUCUUGAAAAUCUUGAAGAUCUUGAACCUUAAGGUAGUCAUUUUGUUUGUGAGGUUAUAAUGUGUAAGAGUAUGGGAGCUUAUUUUACAGCUUGUAACGAUUUAAAAAUUAAAAAGCGAUAAAAUCUGUUUGAGCAGUGUGGUCGAAAAAUAUAUCGACAUAAGAUCUUGCAGGUAAGAAGGAAGUAACAAUGCAGUGUUGGCCGACAGCGGGAUACGUAAUUUUGUCGUGCGAGACAAACUUAGCACAAUGUGCAGACUAAAGAAGAGAUUUAAGAUAUGCAAGGAUGUAUACAGAACAGUACACAAGGUGCAAUUUGCACUGGAAUCUGCACGCACAGCCACAAGACUGAUUAAAAAUUUGCUUGAACUUAAGGUUAUGCAGGAACCAUUCAGGUUUUGCAGCUGGUUACUGCAGAAUGUGCAAUUGCCAUUACACAGUGUAAAAAUAUUGGUGUUGGGCGUACUUUAUGCACGGACAUGAAGAAACUAUUCACUUGAGAAUUGAAGAAUUUGCUACGAGCCUGGAGUCAUGCUUAAAGACAGAAGGGGCAGUGUUCUAACAGUUUUUAUAGAAUGUGAUAAGUUUGUGUUGGGACCGAGGAAACUUGUCACCCUGCACUUGCAAGCAGCAUGUUUCCACCUCAGCUGAAAGCCCACUAGCACUAUUAGGCUUCUAAUUUAAAUCUUCUGGUCUCUUUCUUUGUUAACAGUUCCUAAGAGACGUUGGUAUUCACUGGUUGGUGCCCACUGUUCUUUUAUUGUGGAGCAGUGAGAACGGAAGUAGUGUCACCCUCACCUUCAAGGAGUUCAUGAACUUCAGGCCGAAGAUGGACAAUCUCAAAGUUUCUGCCAUGACUGCAGGAAAAAUGCUUCAUAAUACAGAUUGUACUGUUUGUUUGAGGUGCUGGCGAGACUUGGGCGAAGAAAUUUCCAGCCCAGGUGUUGAGGCGUCAUGUUCUAAAUGUACCACAAGACUGAAGAUAGUCCCACGUUACUGUCCAUAUCAAUGUAAAGCAGCUCAUCAGCUCAGCUGAGAGUGGGGCAUCCAGGAGCAUCCCUUCGAGUCGUGUCGCACUGCAGCUGUGAAGAGUUCCUACAGAGAAGGUGCGUGCGGCGUUGGUUCUGAUUGUGACUGUUGAGAAACACAAAAUUGAAAACGCCGAGUUUAGUGUUGAGAUUCAGUGGGUAAUGCACUGAACUGCAGAAUGAGGACUUCAAUAAUUUGUACCGUUAACAGUAUCGUUUUAGCAGGGUUACUGACUCAAGGAGGAUGGGAUGAGCUGGGCAUGUAGCAUGUGUGGGUUUGCUGAGAAGUGUGGACAUUAGUUAGGUCACAAGACCUGAAAGGAAGACACUACCUGGGAGACCUGGGUGUAGAUGGUAAGAUACUCCUGGGAUAAGUCUUGAAGAAAUAAGGUCAUAGUGUGUCAGCUAGAUUCACUGACAGGGACCAGUAGCAGGUUUCUGUGAACACACUAAUGAACCAGCAUGUUCUAUAGAGGAUGGGAGAUUUUUUUGAGUGACUGUAGUGGAAGCCCCAUUUAAUGUUUGAAGAUUUUAGGUUUUUCCAACAGGAAUUUGAAAUGGAGGUUCCCCUUAGCUAUUGGGUAUUGUACUUAUGUGAAAUAUUUUCAUGUUAUGACUUAUAUUGCACAUAUCACAUACUGUUUGUGAACCAAAGUAGACAAGACUUUAACGUAUCAUUAUGUACCCUUUGAGGCUGGCGCUGGGCAGACGACAGUGUAAAGUGCUGUUCCGGAUGCUGAGAGUUGUCCGUGGCACCACUGUACACCGUGUUGACUUCACACCGAGGAAGAAUAGUGCAUCAUGCAUAUGAAGUACAGAGGGACGUGUGUAUCAUGGCAAGAGCUGCAGCUUGCUGUAUUGUCUGAAGUUGGAAAGUACACAGAGGAUGCUAGAGGAAGACAGAUGCAAUGAACUCUUGCUAAUCUAGAUUAAUUGGGCAGAGAGGUUGUCUGGUUAAGUGAUGAUCUGGACUAGUGUAGCAAAAGGUAGCCCUAAAAGUCAAAAAGACUUAAAAUGCAAAUGGGAAAUGUAACGAUGUAAGUAUUGCUGAUGAAAAUAAAUAACAAAGUAUCACUUUA